GACGAACGCUGGCGGCGUGCUUAACACAUGCAAGUCGAACGGAAAGGCCCUGCUUUUGUGGGGUGCUCGAGUGGCGAACGGGUGAGUAACACGUGAGUAACCUGCCCUUGACUUUGGGAUAACUUCAGGAAACUGGGGCUAAUACCGGAUAGGAUCUCCUGCUGCAUGGUGGGGGUUGGAAAGUUUCGGCGGUUGGGGAUGGACUCGCGGCUUAUCAGCUUGUUGGUGGGGUAGUGGCUUACCAAGGCUUUGACGGGUAGCCGGCCUGAGAGGGUGACCGGCCACAUUGGGACUGAGAUACGGAGCAGACUCCUACGGGAGGCAGCAGUGGGGAAUAUUGCACAGUGGGCGGAAGCCUGAGGCAGCAACGCCGCGUGCGGGAUGACGGCCUUCGGGGUGUAAACCGCCUUCGCCUGUGACGAAGCGUGAGUGACGGUAAUGGGUAAAGAAGCACCGGCUAACUACGUG
rnacentral:rRNA from 1 species